rnacentral:rRNA from 1 species
AGAGUUUGAUCAUGGCUCAGGAUGAACGCUGGCGGCGUGCUUAACACAUGCAAGUCGAACGGUGAAGCCCCGCUUGCGGGGUGGAUCAGUGGCGAACGGGUGAGUAACACGUGAGCAACCUGCCCCUGACUCUGGGAUAAGCGCUGGAAACGGCGUCUAAUACUGGAUACGAGACGUGAUCGCAUGGUCAACGUUUGGAAAGAUUUUUCGGUUGGGGAUGGGCUCGCGGCCUAUCAGCUUGUUGGUGAGGUAAUGGCUCACCAAGGCGUCGACGGGUAGCCGGCCUGAGAGGGUGACCGGCCACACUGGGACUGAGACACGGCCCAGACUCCUACGGGAGGCAGCAGUGGGGAAUAUUGCACAAUGGGCGCAAGCCUGAUGCAGCAACGCCGCGUGAGGGAUGACGGCCUUCGGGUUGUAAACCUCUUUUAGCAGGGAAGAAGCGAGAGUGACGGUACCUGCAGAAAAAGCACCGGCUAACUACGUGCCAGCAGCCGCGGUAAUACGUAGGGUGCAAGCGUUAUCCGGAAUUAUUGGGCGUAAAGAGCUCGUAGGCGGUUUGUCGCGUCUGCUGUGAAAUCUGGGGGCUCAACCCCCAGCCUGCAGUGGGUACGGGCAGACUAGAGUGCGGUAGGGGAGAUUGGAAUUCCUGGUGUAGCGGUGGAAUGCGCAGAUAUCAGGAGGAACACCGAUGGCGAAGGCAGAUCUCUGGGCCGUAACUGACGCUGAGGAGCGAAAGGGUGGGGAGCAAACAGGCUUAGAUACCCUGGUAGUCC